AGAAAAGGCUACAUGAGGACAUAACCAGGAAGAGGGCCCUCGCUAAGAACACAACCAUGCUGACACCCUGAUCCCAGACUUCUAGCCUCCAGAACUGAAGAUUAGCCCUGAGCUAACAUCGGCUGCCAAUAAUCCUCCUCUUUCUGCUGAGGAAGACUGGCCCUGAGCUAACAUCCGUGCCCAUCUUCCUCCACUUUAUAUGCAGGAUGCCUACCAUAGCAUGGCUUGCCAAGCGGUGGGAUCUGAACUGACAAACCCCAGGCCGCCAAAGCGGAACACGUGCACUUAACAGCUGUGCCACCGGGCUGACCCCCUAAGUCUAUCUUUGAUUACACUGUGCCACUUUACACGUAGUGCAGGCUACACAGGAAAUUCUGGAUCCUUUAGGAUCUUAGCACUAUCUCUGGCUCUCUGUCUCUUUGGUGAAUUCAUUCUAUAGACUUCACUCUCAUUUGCGUGGUUGUCUCAUUUUGACGUGGCAACAUCUGGAGCCAUUGCCCAUGCUGCACUCCACUGCUUGAGGAUGUCUACGCUUUCCACUAAAUCCAGAGCUUGCAUUUUGGGAGGAGGAGCAGAGAAAAGGAUGGACCCCCUGGGUGUGGACUCACUAGAUCCUAAAAGGCAAAGGGCAACACUUGGACGAAGAAAGCGAACUUUCCUAGAAGCCACAGCAGAUUUCCACUUACAUCUCAUUGGCCACAACAGGGUCAAAUGGCCAUUCCUGACUAGAAGGUAGGAAGGGAGAAAAAGUCGGAUGAGCCAACAAAUGGCGUCCAUCCCUAUGGCUAUACAAUUUUCCUACAUCCCU
rnacentral:lncRNA from 1 species